AGGUGCGAUCAUACCAGCGUUAAUGCACAGGAUCCCAUCAGAACUUCGCAGUUAAGCGCGCUUGGGCUAGAGUAGUACUGGGAUGGGUGACCUCCUGAGAAGUCCUAGUGUUGCACCCU
rnacentral:rRNA from 1 species